UUAUAAAGACCUUUGAAAACAUACAAUGUAGCAUCAGGGCUCAACAUUAACCGAAAAAAUAACUAAGUACUUAGAAAAUCUACUUGCCCUGAACGUAAAGCCACUUGCCAAAACAUGAAAUAUCACAUCAACUGUAAACCUCAUAUGUUUUAAUAAACCAAAAUGAUACAGCACAAAACCUUUUUUAUUUUUGAACAUUUAACAAAAUGAUUACAGCAAUUAAAGUCUAAAUUAAAUGCUCUUUGUUCUUUUUUGCACUUUUCUGGGCGGACAACUAGAUUAUAAAAUAACUUGCUCGGACCCAACUUUUACUUGCCAGGGGCAAUAGGACAACAGUUAAUGUUGAGCCCUGAGCAUGUAAAACAUUAAGACAUUUGUGCAAAAAAAUGUUUAUUAUCUUGGCCAAAUUAAAUACAUGUAUUUACUUGGGAUGGCAAAAUUAUUCAAAUAUUCGAUUAAAUGGUCAGCAUUCAAAUAAUAAAAAUGAUAUUUGCAUUUUUUCCAAACUUAAUUUCACCAAUAUUUAAUGACCUGCGAACCGCUUACUAAAAAGCAACCGAAAUCACCUGGGAGUAACAUGUUUGACGUGACGUUCUUCGUGUCAAACUGAUAACGCGGCCUGUAUCAGUGUUGAUUGCGCAAUGCAAUAUACACACUCUAAGAAAGGCCCCGACUGUUGUUUGCCAAUGGGGUGCCAAUUAACGGUUUCAAUUGACUGGUGAAUAAUAAUUAAGUUUUGUGAUCACAGUAUGUACAGUCAUUAAAAUGUGUGAAUUACUCAAAUCGCGCAAUGCAAUAUACUUACUAUAAGAAAGGGCCCGAACUGUUGUUUGUCAAUAAGGUACCAAUUAAGGGCUUCAAUUUACUUGCGAAUAAUAAUUUAGGUUUUGUGAUCACAGUUUGAACAUACAUUUAAAUAUGUGAAUUACUCAAAAGUAACAGAUGAAAUAAAUUAAACAAUCAUCAAGGAAUCAUAAUUCAAAUCUGAAAAUGCCACCAGCCCCUUCUGCAGUAUGGAAUACUUUACACGGUCUGUGGAUAAGCAGACCGCAACGUGUAAUGUGUGUAAACUUAGUUUUACAUAUGCGCGGUCUGCUACAAAUCUGUGGAAUCAUUAAAAAAUAAAAUUCAAUGACAUGAUGUUUUUCAUUUUAUUUGUGCCCGAUCACAGUAUUGGUCAUGUAUUAGUCGACAGAGAUACAAUUAUUCGAUAGCAACGUUAAUAAACAGCCUCGUAUUUAGCAAACGGAUAUAACUUACAAACCAAUGGAAAUUAACACAUAACAAGGUAAAAUCAAUCCAGCCAUUUUAUGCGAAUAUUCGAAUAUUCAAUUGAAUGAAUUUGCGAACAUGCAAAUACCGAUAUUGGUAUUCGAUGCCAUCCCUAGUAUUUACUAUUAAUCUCAAACUGUAUAUUCCUUAAAUGAGUACUUUUAAAAAGAAAUAUUACAUUUGUACAUGUAUCUUGGAUAGUAAUUUAUGCACUGAAUGAUCUUUCUUGCCAAUAGUUGUGCAGGAUGUUUUCUUGACAUUUAAAAAUUGAUUACAAAAGCAUGGUAUCCGUUAGAAUUUUAGCUUACCUGAGCACAAAGGGCUUGGUAAGCUUUAGGUUGUAGGGAUCUCUGCUGCAUCAUCUAUUAUUUUUCUGGCAUCAAUAAGAAUAAUCGUGACAGAACUUGCAUAGUCUGUCCAUGACCACAAAAUCCUGGAUCCAUCGAUUCAAUAAUGGGCAAGAUAUGACCAGCAUCACAAGAAGUCUGGCAUUUUCUUUUAAGAAAAUACACUUAGAGGACAAAGUGUAAUAUCUAUAUUGUGUCUACCUUGUGUCUUCUAGGGAAUUUCAAUAGCUCUAACAGCCUAUUGAUCCCUUUAAACUUCUUCAAUUUUAAUAUCUCAACACAGGUCUGAUUUUUUUAGGUUAUAGAUGCCACUAUGUAAUUAAAUUUACUUUUAUUAAAACACUUCUGAGAUGUCAAAACGCUUAUCCAACCAGAAUUUGUUUAGUAGAGCCAUGAGCAAAAUUACGGUAUCACAUUUCACAAUGUCUUGAGGUAGAUUGUUCGAAACUGCGUCUUUUCGUUGUCCAAAAGAAUGGAGGCAAAUUGACAAAUGUGCUUUCCGUUUUGAAAGUUUUAAACAAUAGCCUUAUAGUCGCACUAUUCUCAGCAAAUGUAUUUGAAAAAGGUUCCAGCAUCAAUAUCAUUAAUUUAAUGGAUUAUCAUAAACACUUGAAUCAGAUUGAUUCUUUUGAGCUGAUAAUCCAUAAUAGAAGCUUUAUUUUUCUUCCAAUCUUGGCAAUACUUGCACAUGAUGUGGAUAAAGGUUAUUCUUCAAAACAAUCAAAAUGGUCCAGAUUAAAGAAAAAAGACUAGAGUUAUUGCCUAUUCUUAGUGAAAACAAUUAUUUAAAAAGGUUAGUAUUAAGACUUUCAGGCAACAAAGUCUUAAUUAUAAACGUAUUUUUAUGCCCCCAGUAGGGUGGCAUAUACAUGUAGCAGUUGGAUGUCCGCCAGUAUAUGUCAGUCAGUCAGUCUGUCCGUCCGAAAAAAACUUUAACAUUGGCCAUAACUUUUUCACUAUUGAAGAUAGAAACUUAAUAUUUGGCAUGCAUGUGUAUCUCAUGGAGCUGAACAUUUUGAGUGGUGAAAGGUGAAGUUCAAGGUCAAAUGUCAAAUAUAUGGCGUCUGUCCGUCCGAAAACUUUAACAUUGGCCAUAACUUUUUCAAUAUUGAAGAUAGCAACUUGAUAUAAGGCAUGCAUGUGUAUCACAUGAAGCUGCACAUUUUGAGUGGUGGAAGGUCAAGCUCAUCCUUCAAGGUCAAAGGUUAAAAAAAAAUCAUCAAAGCGGCGUUAUCAUGAAGCUGCACAUUUUAGUGGUGGAAGUUCAAGGUCAUCCUUCAAGGUCAAGGUCAUCCUUCAAGGUCUAAGGUAAAGAAAAAAAAAAUCAAAGCGGCGUUCUCAUGAAGCUGCACAUUUUGAGUGGUGGAAGUUUAAGGUCAAGGUCAUCCUUCAAGGUCAAAGGUAAAAAAAAUUAAUUAAAGUGGCGCAAUAGGGAGCAUUGUGUUUCUGACUAACACAUCUCUUGUUUUUAACAAACUUGCACCAUGUGCGUAUAACAUUAAAAAUUUUGGCCAACUGAAAUGUUUGUGACCAAUAUAAGAAAAUUUUAAUGUUUAAGGUGAGAUUAUCAUCUUUUAUCACACUCUCUAAUGUGGAACAGGUUUGAAGGAAAUGUCAUUGAGCUGGGAAAGAUGGUAUAUUGCUGGUACUACGAUUAACAGUUUUGAAUGUCAUAGAAUGCUAAAUAAAGGAUAAACCAAGGCUAAUGUAUGUCCAAAAGUUAUCUUAAGAAGUGGUAUUAUUAUACAGGGUUGGCAUAUUGACCGGUCAAUUGAGUAUUGACCGGGCCGGCAGUCAAUACCCGGUUAAAACCGGUCAAUACUGGUCAUUAUUGGUCAAUACUGGUCCAUUGAAAAUUGUAGCAUUUAAACUUGACAAAGGAAGAAUUUAAGCUAUUCUAUAUUAAAUCAAUCAUUAUUCUGUAAUUGAUAAACUUUUUUUGAGUUAUCUAUUGUAAAAAAAAGCUUUAAAACUGUAAAAAAUGCUUCUUAAUUAUUUAUGGAAACGGUCUCAAAUACAAAAGAACUAAGGCAAUAUCUUUAUCUCAGUGUAUCACAUCUGUUACUGAAGUAUUAUUACUUUUGUAGUUACCAUAGUAUUUCACUGAUCUAUUGAUAUAUCUAUUUGAUAAGCUGAUGGACAAACAGAACUCUUGUGGUUUCUAGGGUCAUAAAUGAUCUGGCCCCUAAGCCUUAAUUGGUAAUAAAAUGCAUGCACUGGUAUGUCUCUGAUAGUGACAAGGAAGCAAAUCUGCCCUACCUGGGCUUAGGCUAUUUCAUUUCACUCAAACAAAAUGAGAUAACUUGCUAUUAAUGUUAUUAAUUUAAAAGUUACUUCUAACUUGUCUCCUUUCUAUAUUAAGAGGGUUUUCUUAUUUUAAAGUUCAAUUGGUCUUCAAAUGAAUAAGCAAUCAAAGUUCUUGAUUUUGACAACAAAUAAUGUUUACCAAUUGUGGGUCUACUCUAGACUCUUCUUUUCAAUUAUUUCUUCCUUUUAAUAAUUAUUUCUUAUUAAGUUUUUUUUUAUAUCAAUGGUAAAAUAAAAUAUUUUUUCACUAUUUUGUUAAAGAAAUCCAGGCAAGAAUACAUGACAAGUAAGGGUUGUGUCAAAGGUGCCAUGUAAGGCCCUAUUAUCAGUUUUGGGGGCCCUAACCUGUAUAGGUUUGAAGACUGUGAAAGACUGUGGAGACAGUGGGGCAUGAGGAACAACUAAUACACAGUAAUUGAUAGGUUCUUGUUUAAUCAGAAUUUUCUGAGCAUUCAUAAUUCGUUAAAAUUGAAAAAAAAAUUCAAUCGCCCAGCAAAAUUCAAUUGACCAACUUGACUCAUUUGCAAAAUUUUGAGAGAUUGGCCUACAAAUUGCAUGAACAGGUAUAAAAUAGUGGGUUUUAAUAGCUUAAGACAUUAUUGGCAACAUGUCUGUUUAAUUUAUAUUAUCAAUAUUGUUUUAUUAAGCAUGGAAUAUUAAUCAAAAUUGGGGGUAAAGUUCAAUCGACCAGUAAUGACCACUUUGGGAGUAUUGACCGGGGCGGUUUUAACCGGUAAAAACCGCCGGUUAAAACGGGGGGCGGUCGAUUGGUGCCAACCCUGUUAUUAUAUGAUGAUUUUGAGUAAUAUAUGUACUCAAAAUCAACGAAUAUUUUGAAAAAUAUUUUGUAAAAUAAAGUAAACCCAUAAAAAAUCAGUAAUUCUUAGCAUUAGCCAAAAUUUCUACGCUAGAUGUGGUAUGUUAACAAUUACAUAGAUUUAACGAGAUACCUAGUCUCUUUUAUUUUUCGUGCAACAAUAUAUUCCAUUUAAUUUCCCUCCACGAUAUCCGAACAUUUGCGAACAAACACAAGACUGGCUUCUGGCAGCGUCGGAAGAACAGCAUGAGAACUAUGUCGUGCUUCCAAAGCUGCCAGAAACAAGACUCGUGUUCGCUUGUAAAUGUAAGGAUAUCAUAGCCGGAAAUUUACAUGAAAUAUAUAUUGUGACACACAAAAAAUAUAAAAAAGAGCAUUUUGUAUCACAUUCAAAUAUAUGCUUUAAACCACAUCUAGAAUUGAAACUUUGGCUAAUGCUGUAAGGAACAUUGAUUUUUUAGCUCACCUGAUUGCUCAGGUGAGCUUUUGUGACCGGUCUUUGUUCGUUGUAUGUCCAUCAGUCCGUAAACAUUUGCUCGUAAACACUCUAGAGGCCACAUUUCUUGUCCCAUCUUCAUGAAACUUGGUCAGAAGCUUUGUCCCAAUGAAAUCUCGGCCAAGUUCGAAACUGGGUUGUGCCGGGUCAAAAACUAGGUCACUAGGUCAAAAAAAAAGAAAAACCUUCUAAACACUGUAGAAGUCAUAUUUCAUGCCCUAUCUUUAUGUAACUUUGUCAAAAUGUUUAUCUUAAUGAUAUCUUGAUUGAGUUCAAAAGUGGUUCCGAUCCGUUGAAAAACAUGGGCGCCAGAUGGCGGGUCAGUUUUCCUUAUUUGGCUAUAGAGAAACCUUGUAAACACUCUAGAAGUCACAAUUUUUACCCAAUCAUCAUGAAAAUUGGUCAAAACAUUGGUUUUAUUGAUAUUUCGGACGAGUUUGAAAAUGGUCGGGAUCGGUGAAAAAACAUGGUCAUUAGUGGGCGGGGCAUUUUUCUCUAUAUGUAUAUAGUGAAAACAUGUGAACACAGUAGAAGUCACAUUUUUGGCCCAAUUUUCAUGAAAUUUGCUCAGAACAUUUGUUUCCUUGAUACGAGAGUUGAGUUAAAAAAUGGUUCGGGUCAGUUGAAUAACAUGGCUGCUGGGAGUGGGGCAGUUUUCUCAUUAUGCCCCCCCCUUUCGAAGAAGAGGGGGUAUAUUGUUUUGCUCAUGUCUGUCCAUCCGUCCACCAGAUGGUUUCCGGAUGAUAUCUCAAGAGCGCUUAUGCCAAGGAUCAUGAAACUUCAUAGGUACAUUGAUCAUGACUCGCAGAUGACCCCUAUUGAUUUUCAGGUCACUAGGUCAAUGGUCAAGGUCAAGAUGACCCAAAAUAGUAAAAUGGUUUCCGGAUGAUAACUCAAGAACACUUAUGCCUAGGAUCAGGAAACUUCAUAGGUACAUUGAUCAUGACUUGCAGAUGACCCCUAUUGAUUUUCAGGUCAUUAGGUCAAAGGUCAAGGUCACGGUGACCCAAAGCAGUAAAAUGGUUUCUGGAUAAUAACUCAAGAACUCUUAUGCCUAGGAUCAUAAAACUUCAUAGAUACAUUGAUCAUGACUCGCAGAUAACCCCUAUUGAUUUUCAGGUCACUAGGUCAAAGGUCAAGGUCACGAUGACCCGAAAUAGUAAAAUGGUUUCCUGAUGAUAAUUCAAGAAUGCUUAGGCCUAGGAUCAUGAAACUUCAUAGGCACAUUGAUCAUAACUCGUAGAUGACCCCUAUUGAUUUUCAGGUCACUAGGUCAAAGGUCAAGGUCAUGAUGACCCGAAAUAGUAAAACGAUUUCCAGAUGAUUACUCAAGAACGCUUAGGCCUAGGAUCAUGAAACUUCAUAGGUACAUUGAUCAUGACUCGUAGAUGACCCCUAUUGAUUUUCAGGUCACUAGGUCAAAGGUUAAGGUCACGGUGACCCGAAUAAGUAAAAUGGUUUCCAGAUGAUUACUCAAGAACGCUUAUGCCUAGGAUCAUAAAACUUCGUAGGUACAUUGAUCAUGACUCGAAGAUGACCCCUAUUGAUUUUCAGGUCACUAGGUCAAAGGUCAAAUUCACGGUGACCUGAAAUAGUAAAAUGGUUUCUGUAUGAUAACUCAUGAACACUUAUGCCUAGGUUCAUGAAACUUCAUAGGUAUAUUGAUCAUGACUCGCAGAUGACCCCUAUUGAUUAUCAGGUCACUAGGUCAAAGGUCAAGGUCACAGUGCCAAAAAACGUAUUCACACAAUGGCUGUCAAAGUCACGAUGACUCAACUUAGAAAAAUGGUUUCCGGAUGAUAACUCAAGAAUGCUUACGCCUAGGAUCAUGAAACUUCAUAGGUACAUUGAUCAUGACUCACAGAUGAAAUAAUCAUGAAACUUGACCAGGAUGUUUGUCUGGACAAUAUCUAGGUCAAGUUUGACAUUUGGUAAAGAUUGAAUGAACCGACUCCUCUCAGGUGAGCGAACUUGGGCCAUCUUGGCCCUCUUGUAAUGUGAUACCUUUAAAAAAAAAAUAUUUUACAAAUUAUUUUUUGCUCUUGAGUUUUCAUGUGCUUUUUAGAUUCUGUUGUAGUUCAUAUGUCCUUGGAUGCAACCUGCCAUUUACUAGAACAUGAUUGUACUUUACCGAAUCAUUUAAGCUUCCAAAAAUUAUUAUGCCCCCUUUCGAAGAAGAGGGGGUAUAUUGCUUUGCUCAUGUCGGUAUGUCGGUCGGUCUGUCGGUCCGUCCACCAGGUGGUUGUCAGACGAUGACUCAAGAACGCUUGGGCCUAGGAUCAUGAAACUUCAUAGGUACAUUGAUCAUGACUCGCAGAUGACCCCUAUUGAUUUUGAGGUCACUAGGUCAAAGGUCAAGGUCACGGUGACCCGAAAUAGUAAAAUGGUUUCCAGAUGAUAACUCAAGAACGCUUAGGCCAAGGAUCAUGAAACUUGAUGGGUAGAUUGAUCAGGACUCGCAGAUGACCCCUAUUGAUUUUGAGGUCACUAGGUCAAAGGUCAAGGUCACAAUGACCCGAAAUAGUAAAAUGGUUUCCGGAUGAUAACUCAAGAAAGCUUUAGCCUAGGAUCAUGAAACUUGAUAGGUAGAUUGAUCAUGACUCGCAGAUGACCCCUAUUGAUUUUCAGGUCACUAGGUCAAAGGUCAAGGUCACGGUGACCUGAAAUAGUAAAAUGAUGUCCGGAUGAUAACUCAAGAAUGCUUAUGGCGAGGAUCAUGAAACUUCAUUGGUACAUUGAUCAUGACUGGCAGAUGACCCCUAAUGAUUUUCAGGUCACUAGGUCAAAGGUCAAGGUCACA